rnacentral:lncRNA from 10 species
GUAUUUCCGCCGGCGCGAAACGAGCGUAGCUUCCUUGUCGUGUGGCCUCAGUCCUUCGCCGUCCCUCGCCGUCCUUCGCCAUCGCACGCCACCGCACCCCAUCUCUCGAAAUCUGCAGACAUCUUGAUUUUUCCCACGCUGUCUGUCAGGUCUCCGCCGCCACUCGACGCCAGGGCGCCGGGCCUUGUGGGCUGUGCUGCACCUCGGACGGCUUCGCACCAGCCAGCGCCCUCUCUCUCCUGCAGCACUCUGAUCUGCACCCCCUGAGGGGCUUCCACUGUCCGCGGGGUGAGAAUGCCCCUGGGAGUGUCACAUGACUGCCGCCCCAUGUGUGUGAGAGGCGUCCUCUGGGAGAGCAUGGAUCCUGAGGUCCCAGGAUUGUCAGCUGACCUCUGUCCUGUGUGCCCAGUGGCCCCAGGUGACGUGUCUUCAAGAAGAGGCUGAGCUGCGGUGCUUGUAAGAGUCAUGUGCUGUUCCUGGGGCUUGGAUGAUGUAGGGGAAGCAAGGUGAAAGUGGUAUCCCGUGGUUCCACGUUCUGUCCUGCUGUGGGGCUGUCCCUCACAUGCUUUCAGUGGCUGUUGCAGAGGAAGAGCCUCCGGAAAUCUGCGUCUCAGCCUUAGAUCCAAGGACAGUCCAAGGAAGUCCUAAGACCAUGGAGUUGGUGAUCUGGGAUCUGGGUUUGCUGAUAUUUCUCACCGUGAAUCUCUUGGUGGUGUUUGUGGGCACGAGAGGGGCAGAGAAUGGAGAGUGAGGCUACCACAUGAAGCGUCACCAGAGCUGCUCCCUGCUGCCUGCUCAGAGCACCCCGGAUCCACUGUUCAAUCUGCACAAGAUUCGGGGUCCAGACAUGGGAGACUUCAGCUGCCUCAGAGGACCGUGGACAGGGAAGGCCAGCCUCGCAUCCCUCUGUCCAUGCCUGGAAUGACUUUAAUAACCAAGAGUUUUAUUUUUGAAUUUGUAGCUGUCGUUCACUUUUUACCCACCCAUUCAAUAAACCUUACAGAAUUGCU